ACACAUGCAAGUCGAACGGCAGCACAGGAGAGCUUGCUCUCUGGGUGGCGAGUGGCGGACGGGUGAGGAAUACAUCGGAAUCUACUCUGUCGUGGGGGAUAACGUAGGGAAACUUACGCUAAUACCGCAUACGACCUACGGGUGAAAGCAGGGGAUCUUCGGACCUUGCGCGAUUGAAUGAGCCGAUGUCGGAUUAGCUAGUUGGCGGGGUAAAGGCCCACCAAGGCGACGAUCCGUAGCUGGUCUGAGGGGAUGAUCAGUCACACUGGAACUGAGACACGGUCCAGACUCCUACGGGAGGCAGCAGUGGGGAAUAUUGGACAAUGGGCGCAAGCCUGAUCCAGCCAUACCGCGUGGGUGAAGAAGGCCUUCGGGUUGUAAAGCCCUUUUGUUGGGAAAGAAAUCCAGCUGGCUAAUACCCGGUUGGGAUGACGGUACCCAAAGAAUAAGCACCGGCUAACUUCGUGCCAGCAGCCGCGGUAAUACGAAGGGUGCAAGCGUUACUCGGAAUUACUGGGCGUAAAGCGUGCGUAGGUGGUCGUUUAAGUCCGUUGUGAAAGCCCUGGGCUCAACCUGGGAACUGCAGUGGAUACUGGGCGACUAGAAUGUGGUAGAGGGUAGCGGAAUUCCUGGUGUAGCAGUGAAAUGCGUGGAGAUCAGGAGGAACAUCCAUGGCGAAGGCAGCUACCUGGACCAACAUUGACACUGAGGCACGAAAGCGUGGGGAGCAAACAGGAUUAGAUACCCUGGUAGUCCACGCCCUAAACGAUGCGAACUGGAUGUUGGGUGCAAUUUGGCACGCAGUAUCGAAG
rnacentral:rRNA from 1 species